UCUCUUUUCUUGGAAGAGAGACCGCACUUUUCAUUCCUGAGAUCAGAGGGAGAGGAGGUGUACCGGUUCUUGGCAACUAGUGGUGAUACAAUAAGUACAAAUUUUUUAAUCAGUUAAGACUGUAACGCAUCAAUCCAAUAUGGCGCAUUCUAACUCUGCCAAUAACAGUACUGCUAGCAGUGAUGAUGAAUUUUUUCAAGCGAAAUGCUGUGCUUUACAAUGCUCUAAUGAAAGAAGAGACUCCGAGCGAGUUGGUUGAACAGUGUCGACAACGCGACCAAUAUCCGGAGGGUCCAUUGCACGUUCUAACCUUACACGGUGACACAGUACUUCAUAUGGCUGCACACACUGCCAAAGCGGACUUCGUAAAUCAACUGCUAGGGAUGUUGCCUGAGAAUGAAUACUGCAAGCUUACCCGUCAAAAUGCAGUUGGAAACACAAUCCUACACGAGGCCGUGGCUUUUGACAAAUUAGUCCCAGCUGCCAAGAGAAUGCUAGACAUGGCACCUGAGUUGUCAAGUAAGGCCAACAAAUUUCGAGAGAGGCCUCUUUUCAGUGUUGCCCGCUAUGGCCAAAUUAAGAUGUUCAAAUUUCUUGAUAAGAAUAUUGAAAGUGAAGCAGAGCGCAAGGAAUUUUAUCAAAACGAUAACAAGACCACUGUACUUCACAGUGCUGUUUUCUUUGGCCAUUUCGAUUUGGCCUUAUAUAUUGCGACUGGGGAACAAAGUAAAUAUUUAGUUGUUGAAAAAGAUGAACAUGGUAUGACUGCUCUGCAGCAUCUUGCAAGUAAUUCAGCAGCAUUUGAAAUGAGGAAGACUGAAGGAUCCUUGAAGUGUCGUAUUGUAAUAAGGGUAAAUUGUCCCACAUUGAAAUCGGAUGGGAAAGUGAUUGGGUAUAAAUGGAUAGGUAUGCAGCAUUACCUAAUAGUUCGAGCUUUUGGGUAAAUGGGUAAGUGCCCAUUCAUUACAGUUAGUAUCAGAGCCAGACCCAGUCCUUGAUCCGGCCCUUACGCCAAGCACCUGGCCCGGUCAACGAGGGCGUUGCGAGUUUGGGUGGGAGAGAAUGUAAUAAGGGUCAUUUGUCCCACAUGAGUGGGUAUGCAGCAUUACCCUUACAACGGUCUCUUGAGAGUUGAAAAUUUGAUACCUAUUCCAGCAAUGAGAGGAAAAGGUACGUACGUACGUAUGAGAAAUUAUAUACUUGGUAAUGCAAUUUCGAUCAUACUUCCAGUAUUGUUAGUUUUCAUGUAUUACUACCGACUAAUUUGUAGGAAAUAAAGAUGCAUGGAUUUGGAGAGUGCCUUUCUGGGGAGCAAUUAGGAUGAAAAUGGUAAAAUAUGAAUCAGCUAAGGAACUUGCCCGCUUCUUAGUAGCAAAAGAUAAUUCAUCUAGAAGCUCAGCCGAGUGAAACCAAAGACAAUGGAGGGCUAUCAAAAUCAUCAUCAGCUUCCAAUACUACUGCAGAGAUUGAUGGGGAGAAAGACAACAGAGACAAACAUUCAAAAAAAAAAAAAAAAAAAAAAGACAA